UAGCUCAGACGGUAAAAGCGUCUGCCUGCAAUACAGGAGACCCAGGUUCGAUCCCUGG
rnacentral:tRNA from 1 species